CACAUGCUGCGGUUGUGUGUGUGUUUGUGUAAUGAUAGUUAAGGGAUUAUAGUAAUAAAUUGAGUCAGAUUGCUCGGCUACCUGGAUCGUUGGGGUAAUUGACAUUCUUCGUUGAGUGUCAAAUGUGAUUGCGACUAGUGAACUGCCAUGACAUUACAUUUUUGUUGACGUUUUUGAAGAUUCGUUUUUGGCUUUGUCUUUGCUUUCUCGUGGAAUGUAACAGAAUGUUGUAGCGGAAUUAAAAAAAAGAAGAGAACUGUAUCGUCUAAUUGCCGGAACGAGCGCAACGAGGUCGAGUGAUUGGCGACCACGUCUUUUCUGCCCGUUGGGACCUAAAGAAGAAAUCAUACUUCCAACUAAAGCAUCGUGCAUCGUUCCGGGACCCAUUGCAUCCGGAAGAAUUAAACUGCCGGGAAUAGAGGCUCGCAAUCAAAACGACUGCUAAUUGACCCUACUAAUCCCUUUGUCUGCGACUGUAGCUUCUACACUGCACAGCAUUCACACUCCUAUAUAAAAUAGGACUCGACAUGGGAAACCACAGGAAAAAUUCAUACAGGAGGCGACUGCCCUACCGACACUCCUCCGCUCGUUGGAGCCUCAAGUUACGAAAAAUUCGCUUCCGCUGGGAUUCGAACUCACAACCUUCCGCACACUAGGCUCGCGCCUAGCCGCUUCGGCCACCGACAUUAGUCUAUUAUUUUUUGCAAUCUGCAAAUUGAUCAUAUGAUCAUUAUGGCGCUGACUAUUGUUGUUUUGCAGUCGUAAAGUCUGCCAAUUAAUUUAAGGGUUGGCUCAUUCGAAUUGUACUUUAUUGGAAUUUUGGGAGUGGGGAGAGAUUUAGCUCAGCUUUUAGUCGUGCGGCCUAAUACUUAUGACAGCCCAUUUGAAAAAAUCUCCCAUGGAGAAUAUACGGUAAUGCCGCGUUUUACGAUAUAGUUCAAGGAUAUUUGUGAUACUUCGCCCACAAAUCAAAUAUAUGGCCCAUAUAAUUUACAAUGCAGUCUCGAAUUCAUUAAAGUUGUUAUGCUUGGAGAACAUAUAUAUUCCCAUGUCAAUGCAUGUGGAGUAGUCGUCCCAUAUCUUUCAAUAUAGUCCACACUGAAACUCCAUCGCAUUCACCUUGGAAUGAAGAUCCAUGAGACAGGUAAUGAACUAAGUUUUUUAUUUUUUCUUAUCGUAGAAAGAUGUCUCAUAAAUUUCAUUGAAUUGAUGAAGGGCCACGACAAUAAAGAACUCUUUCUGUGUGAUUUUUCGAAGCUCAUAAACGCGAGAAAUAUUAUUGAGUGUCAUGACAUCAAAUGUCAAUGUUGACCGACAACAUCGAGACUAUGCUGCAGUGCCCAUUCGUUUCCUUUCCUUUCCUUCGGUUCGUUUAAUUUUUGCUUCCGAAUGGAAGUUUUCGUAUAUUUGUAGCAGAGCCAACAAUAUUUCAUCAGUAGGAAAUGACAGUAAAUACUGCUAUUUUGCGAAUAGAUGUACAUAUUUACUAUAUAUAUUUUUAUUCUCGUCACAUUAUUUCCCACAAGGAAAAUUAAUUUCAAUGAAAUGAAAUAUCAUCUUGAAGAAUUUAAGAUAGAACUUGUUUGCGAAAUCAUAUUACAUGAAUUUGAUUGAAUUUGUGGUGCAAUAUUGAUGAUAUCAAUGAGUACUGAUAAUAUUUACUGAUAAUAUCUAUCUUGACAUUGAAGUCUUUAUUUUUUAUGAUUAUUUUUCCCACCCAAAUUUCAGCCAAUAGAAUUGCACCAUUUGUUGAUAUUUUGUAUAGCCUACCUCGAAUAUCAGCGAUUAUUUUUCCCAUCCAAAUCUUGGCCAAUAGGAUUGCACCAUUCGACGUUAUUUUGUAUAGUCAACACGGUAUUUCAGCGGAUAUUCUUGAAAAUUACACUGGAAAUUUUGCAUGUUGAUAUAUAUAAAAAAAAACAAAUGUUGAAGUAACCCUCAAUUGUAUCUGACAGAUUAAAUGGCAAUUCGUUAAAAAUUAUGUCUCAUGGUGCAAUUCUAUCGGCCAACAUUUGGAUGCAAAAAAUAAUCCCCCGAAUACCACUCGAACUUCGAAAUUAUCUGAUAUUUCCCUCAAGGUUCCCUGCAAACAAAUAAGCUCGUCAAGUUUUCCAGAAAAAUCACUCGCGCUUCGCGCUCGUGAUUUUAAAACUGGAAAACUUGACACGUUCAUUUGUUUGCAACGAACCUAUCGGGAAAUAUCCGAUAAUUUCGGAGCUCUUGUGGUAUUACAUGCGAUAAUUUUUUGAAUAUUUUGGUAAACAAACGACACUUAACCAAAUAAACCUCUUUUCAUGUCAUGGCACAAUUCUCUUGGCCGAAAUUUGGAUAGGAAAAAUAAUCCCCUGAAUACCACUCGAGCUUCAAAAUUAUAGAAUAUUUCCCUCUAGGUUCCCUGCAUACAAAUGAAGUCGUCAAGUUUUUCAGGAAAAAUCACUCGUGCUUCGCACUCGUGAUUUUUUAGCCUGAAAAACUUGACUCCUUCAUUUGUUUGCAACGAAUCUAUCGGGAAAUAUUCGAUAAUUUUGAACCACUUGUGGUAUUAUAUGUGAAU